CCUUCUAAAAAUGAAGUUACCUGUUGUGUUAUUGGUACUGCUGUUGUUCUGGAUUCCUGUUUCCAGAGGUGAUGUUGUGAUGACCCAAACUCCGACAUCCUUGAUUGUCAGCCUUGGAGAACAAGUCUCCAUCUCUUGCAAGUCUAGUCAGAGCCUUGUACUAAGUAGUGGAAACACAUAUUUGGAAUGGUACCUGCAAAAGCCAGGUCAGUCUCCGCAGCUCUUGAUAUACAAGGUUUCCAACCGAUUUUCUGGAGUCUCAGACAGGUUCAGUGGCAGUGGGUCAGUCACAGAUUUCACACUCAAGAUCAGCAACGUGGAGCCUGAGGAUUUAGGAGUAUAUUACUGCUCACAAGCUUCUUAUUUUCCUCCCACAGUGAUUCAGACCCUAACAAAAACAUCCUUGCUUAAGGGUGGCCCAGCUGCCAAGUAUGUUACUUCUCUGUGUGAGAGAAGGGUGCUGAGGGCUCAGGAUUGUUGCUUGCAGCUGAGGACCUUGGAGCAUGAGCACCUGCCUUAG